rnacentral:rRNA from 1 species
UACAGAGGGUGCAAGCGUUGUUCGGAAUUAUUGGGCGUAAAGCGCGUGUAGGCGGCUUGUUAAGUCGGGUGUGAAAGCCCUCAGCUCAACUGAGGAAGGGCGCCCGAAACUGGCGAGCUUGAGUGUCGGAGAGGAUGGCGGAAUACCCCAAGUAGAGGUGAAAUUCGUAGAUAUGGGGUGGAACACCGGUGGCGAAGGCAGCUCGCUGGGACGUGACUGACGCUGAGACGCGAAAGCGUGGGGAGCGAACAGG